ACGAGGUGGAUUGAAGAGCCCUCCCACCCCAGCCUGUUGGGACAUGGCCUGGACAGGAUUCCUGCAUUCCUGCUGCCUUCCCUCUUGCUCUCAGCCACAGACACCGGUACAAAAUGGAGGACUCAGGGACCCACUCACCCUCCAAGCCAUCAGAGGCUUUGCCCCACCCACCGCAAGUUGGGGCUGCUUCAGGGGGCCUUCCCUGGGACUGGGAAAACCUGAGGGUCCUCUUGGGGGUUCUCCAGCCUGUCUGACAGCCCUCUCCCCAGUUCCAUCGCUCCACAAGCAUGAGGCUGCUGAGACCAUGCCUCACACAGGUGAAAGAUGGAGAAACUGUGGCCCAGAGAGAGGAGGGUCCUUGCUAGAACCACACAGUGGAGCAGGGAAGAUGAGACCAGAGCACGGACUUCCACUCAGCUCCAGCUCCCUCCAACAGGACAGGUGGGAGGCCACUGAAGGCGUGCUGGGGACCUGGCCCCGGAGCCACCCACCAACAGACCAGCUGUGUGUGUCGGGCAGCCGCCCGGGAGGGUCCCCCGGACCCUGAAACUCUGGAACUCAGUGCCUGUGGGUCCCCGCAGCCAGGCCAGCGCCAGGGCCCACCCCCACGGCGCCCGGACGGGGGGCGGGGCCAGGUGUGGCGCCACGUCCCGGGGCGGGGCUCGGAAGCCUCUGUUCCCGCAGCGCCGACACCUGGUGUCCACCCGCCCGCGGGCCGGCGUGCCGGGGCAGGGAGGCCGCUCAGGGCCGCCCGGACCGGACGGGACGGGACGCGGGCGGCGCCGCCACAUCUGAGCCGCGCCGCAUUCCGGGGCGCCCCGCCGCGGGCAGGGGGAGGAGGAGCGUUCCAAAGCCUGUCGGGCACCGCCUCCUGCCGGCCGCCGCGGGCUACUGCAGGUCCCCGAAAAGGUGGCCUUGACCGGUGGGUAGUGGUGCCUUCCAUGAUCCCACCAUCGCCAGCACUUCCUGCUUGUGCCUGGGGCGGAGAGUUCUUUAGAAGGACAAAGCCAGAGCCUUGCAGAGGCUUGCUAAGGCUCUGAACCAGCCCCCCACACGCACACCCAACACCCCGAAGACCACACUAGCCAAAGCCUCUGCGCACAGCGAGGCGGCAGAAGUGUCUCCAGUUUCUGGACUCCCUUGUCUCUGAAGGGGGCAGACCUGGAGCCUCCUCUCCCCAACUCUGAACUGCGCAGGCACCUUCCAGAGCCCCCCUGCCAUGCUACCCUUGACAACCUAUACUCCUGCCCCCAACUCCUCCCACAACCCUGCUGGGCUUCCCCCACCGCAAUAUCCCCCAGUCCUUGUCUGACCACACUAAGACCCCUCAGUGCACCCACAGCAAAAUGCGGAAAUAGCAAACACUGUUCCUCCUGUUUUAUAAAUACGCACAUGUUUAGCAAGUCUGCUCAGAACCAAGCCUACAUGGCCCCUGCUGCUCUCUCUUACACACACACACACACACACACACACACACACUAUACGUGCCUGUUGCAAGUCCACGGUCCUGGGUGAGCUGCUGUGGAUUUCCUGUCCUGCUUCCCCCCAACACACCAGGGGCCCCUCUUCAUCAGAACACUGUCUUUCCUCAGCCAGCGCCCCCUUCCCCCCAAUGUCCCCACUACUCAGGCAGCACUGGGCAACAGGUGCUGGGGAAGGAACAAGGACUCUCGUUCCAGCUGCUGUGGGUGCUGGGUAGCCCAGGGCCACGCGUGACUCUCUCUAAGCCCCAGGUUCCUGAGUCGCUUGGAAGAGGCCAUUUCUACAGCCUUGCCUAUCUGGGGGGUCAGGGUGGCCCUAGGCUUGAUGACUUCCCAACGUGCUCCAUUCCUGCAGUCAUGUGCUUUGUAUACAGUAAAUGCUCACUAAAUCCAUGAACUUACAGUUGUUCUGUGACUCACAGCAGCCUGUGACCCCGUUCUCA